AUACGGAGGGGGUUAGCGUUGUUCGGAAUUACUGGGCGUAAAGCGCACGUAGGCGGAUUGGAAAGUUGGGGGUGAAAUCCCAGGGCUCAACCCUGGAACUGCCUCCAAAACUAACAGUCUCGAGUUCGAGAGAGGUGAGUGGAAUUCCAAGUGUAGAGGUGAAAUUCGUAGAUAUUUGGAGGAACACCAGUGGCGAAGGCGGCUCACUGGCUCGAUACUGACGCUGAGGUGCGAAAGCGUGGGUAGCAAACAGGAUUAGAAACCCCGGUAGUCC
rnacentral:rRNA from 1 species